rnacentral:rRNA from 1 species
UCGAGGAUCUUCGGCAAUGGGCGCAAGCCUGACCGAGCGACGCCGCGUGCGGGAUGAAGGCCUUCGGGUUGUAAACCGCUGUCAGAGGGGAUGAAAUCACGGUGGGUUCUCCCAUCGUGUUGACAGAGCCUCAGAGGAAGCGCGGGCUAAGUUCGUGCCAGCAGCCGCGGUAAUACGAACUGCGCGAACGUUAUUCGGAAUCACUGGGCUUACAGGGUGCGUAGGCGGCGGAGAAAGUAGGGUGUGAAAUGCCUUGGCUCAACCAAGGCACAGCGCUCUAAACUCCUUCGCUGGAGUGAGUCAGGGGUGCGCGGAACUUCCGGUGGAGCGGUGAAAUGUGUUGAUAUCGGAAGGAACACCGGUGGCGAAAGCGGCGCACUGGGGCUUAACUGACGCUGAGGCACGAAAGCCAGGGUAGCGAACGGGAUUAGAUACCCCCGUAGUCC